GUCCUGUUCCCCAUGUUCCAGGAGCUUGCACCAGACAACCCAGAUGACAAGUGUGGUCACCACUACGCGAUUUGCCUUGACCUAAAGAACCAACGAUUUGAGGUGCUUGAUUCAAUGCGUUCAGGAGCUGAUGAAGACCUUACUACACAUGUUGAAUUCUUCAUCAACAACCUCAAGGAGACAUGGAACCGUCACUACGAAAACUCAAAGGUCCAGAUCAGACAUUUUCCAAUCGAGUAUGUCGCGACUACGAAACAAGGAAACCGGCAUGACUGUGGCUUUCACACAUUGGAAUACCUUGCAAAGUGGGAAGGGCGACGGGUCCCUGUCGUCACAGCUGCAAUGGUCGUUGAGCUCCGUAAAAUAUACACAUGGAACUGGUUGAUGAAUGAAUAUUUCAACAAGCGGGCCAACGCACGAGAGUUCAUAGAGGAAGCUAUCAAA
rnacentral:rRNA from 1 species